GCGUCCGUAGCUCAGUUGGUUAGAGCACCACCUUGACAUGGUGGGGGUCGGUGGUUCGAGUCCACUCAGACCCACCA
rnacentral:tRNA from 1 species